CCUACGGGUGUCAGCAGUUGGGGAUAUUGCACAAUGGGGGAAACCCUGAUGCAGCGACGCCGCGUGUGGGAAGACGGUCCUCUGGAUUGUAAACCACUGUCCCCAGGGACGAAGAUGACGGUACCUGGGGAGGAAGCUCCGGCUAACUACGUGCCAGCAGCCGCGGUAAUACGUAGGGGGCAAGCGUUGUCCUGAAUUACUGGGUGUAAAGGGAGCGUAGGCGGGAUGGCAAGUUGGGGGUUAAAUCUACCGGCUCAACUGGUAGUCGCACGCAAAACUGAGAUUCUUGAGUGAAGUAGAGGCAGGCGGAAUUCCUAGUGUAGCGGUGAAAUGCGUAGAUAUUAGGAGGAACACCAGUGGCGAAGGCGGCCUGCUGGGCUUUUACUGACGCUGAGGCUCGAAAGUGUGGGGAGCAAACAGGAUUAGAUACCCCAGUAGUC
rnacentral:rRNA from 1 species